rnacentral:tRNA from 1 species
AUUUAUAUAGUAUAAAAUAUUACAUUUAAUUUCCAAUUAAAAAAUUUAAAUAAAUUAGUAUAAAUA